rnacentral:sRNA from 1 species
GGAUACAAUUUUUUCACGCGAGUUCUUGCGUGUUCGUACACUGAAACCACAAUCAAAAAGAUUGUA